UACGUAGGUGACAAGCGUUGUCCGGAUUUACUGGGCGUAAAGAGCGCGCAGGCGGUCGUUCAAGUCGAGUGUGAAAGCCCCCGGCUCAACUGGGGAGGGUCAUUCGAUACUGAUCGACUCGAAGGCAGGAGAGGGUAGUGGAAUUCCCGGUGUAGUGGUGAAAUGCGUAGAUAUCGGGAGGGACACCAGUGGCGAAGGCGACUACCUGGCCUGUUCUUGACGCUGAGGCGCGAAAGCUAGGGGAGCAAACGGG
rnacentral:rRNA from 1 species